CCUACGGGAGGCAGCAGUGAGGAAUAUUGGUCAAUGGGCGAAAGCCUGAACCAGCCAAGUCGCGUGAGGGAGUACUGCCCUAUGGGGUGUAAACCUCUUUUGUCGGGGAGCAAAAGCCGGACGUGUCCGGCUGUGAGGGUACCCGAAGAAAAAGCAUCGGCUAAAUCCGUGCCAGAAGCCGCGGUAAUACGGGGGAUGCGACCGUUAUCCGGGUUUUUUGGGGUAAAGGGGUGAGCAGGGGGAUUUUUAAGUCAGCGGUCAAAUCGUGGGGCUUACCCGCAUCCAGCCGUUGAAACUGGGGUUCUUGAGUGUGCGAGAGGUAGGCGGAAUGCGUGGUGUAGCGGUGAAAUGCAUAGAUAUCACGAAGAACCCCGAUGGCGAAGGCAGCAUACCGGUGAACAACUGACGCUCAGGCACGAAAGCGUGGGUAUCGAACAGGAUUAGAUACCCUAGUAGUC
rnacentral:rRNA from 1 species